rnacentral:tRNA from 2 species
GCGGGCGUAGUUUAGUGGUAAAACCUCAGUCUUCCAAACUGAUGAUGUCGGUUCGAUUCCGUCCGCCCGCACCA